ensembl:miRNA MIR340 microRNA 340
CACUUGUACCUGGUGUGAUUAUAAAGCAAUGAGACUGAUUGUCAUUUGUCUUUUGUGGGAUCCGUCUCAGUUACUUUAUAGCCAGACCUGGUAUCUUA